UAUCUUCCUCUGAAUUCUGAAGCUUUCCUCUCUGUGCUGCCUGCUCUACCACUGACCACCAUGAAGGUUUUGGUGUUCCUGGCACUGGUGGCAGUUUCCACCUUCCUGGUUUCUGGCCAGGAUACAACAGAAGUUCCUGCUGAUUCUUCUCCUGCCUCUGAUACAACCACUGUUGAUCCCGCCACCACCUCUGCUGCCGCCACGGAGUCCACGGCUGCCGCCACAACCACCGCUGCCGCCACAACCACCGCUGCCGCCACAACCACCGCUGCCGCCACAACCACCGCUGCCGCCACAACCACCGCUGCCGCCACAUCCACGGCUGCUCCCACCACAUCCACUGCGGCUGCCACAACUACCACUGCUGCCAAGACCACCACGUCCUAUGAACAGUGCCUCCUUUAUUUUCGUUUUACCCCAUGGCUUAGGUUCAUUUUCUGCUAAAAGUUCACUGAGAUGGAAUCAGCCUCAGCCUUCUAUAUUUGAUCCUACUGGAUUCGGCCAGAAUGCCCCUUGAUUUGUUUCACUGCUACUACUUUCCAGCCCUGUCAUAUCUCUCUUAUCUCUAAUCAGUUUCUAUUCAUUCAAAUAAAAUGAUGAGUGACAUCAAAAAUAGUACUUAUUUUUUUAGCUGUCGGCCGAGCAGUCAUCCAAUAGUUAUGUCAAGUGAUAGAUACUUUGAAUCUUACCCAGUUCUUGCCUAUAUUACUGUAAAUAAGUGAACCUCCUACAUAUUUAUCUAAUUUUUAAAAACAAGUCACAAUCCUUGUGUAUAUUCCUGGUGACUGACUAGAGCUUUCUCUAUGUGGAUCAAUAUUUCCUAG
ensembl:lncRNA